rnacentral:piRNA from 1 species
UCUAAGCAACCAGCUAAGAACACUCUUUGUC